rnacentral:lncRNA from 1 species
CCACACUGUUAAUCAGAAAGGGUGGCUUCUGGUUCUGAUACGUCUGUUGUUUUUUUUUUUUCAGAGGUGAACACUGGAAAAACAUGACUGACUCUGUGCAACUUGGAAAAGGAAAAGUCAUCAGCAAGUCCCAUCCUCACCACACACAAACACGUCACAGAGAGGGCAAAGCUGGAGGUGUUGUUGUUGACAGAAACAUUGUAAGCAGAGAAGGUGAAUCAAUCCAUGGAGUAUCCCUAUCACACUGGAUGAAGCUCAGAAUUGGCCUAAAGAAAAUGGAAGUGAGAAACACACAGGCCGGUCAGAGGCACACAGCUGCCUUCUCUCCCAGCUGACUUUGGGCAACCACACCAAGGCAAAGCCAGAGGAACCAAGAAAGGUAGGGACGCAGGGCCCCAGCAGUUGUGGGUCUCUGUGAGCUGUAGGGGAUGUGCAAACAGAUGGAGGUCAGUCUAUCAGGCACUGAGAACAAGGUCCCCAAGUGUCCCUUUCCUUGUCUCUGUCUCCUGUCCCGAGAAAAUCACCUCCAGCCCCUGCCAUCCAGGGCACCUCAUAUCUCAUUUAAUAUACAUUUCCUGUCACACACUCACAAAGAGAUUCCAAGUUAACUGCUCUUUACUGAGUGGCUAGUCCGUGCCAGGCAUUGCACUAACAACUCCCCUGGACUUUACCUUCCGUAACUCUCACAACAGAUCCUCAGUGGUGGUCACUGGCAUAACCACAGUGUAAAGAUGAGGAAACCAAGGCCCACAAAGGUUAAUUACUCUGUCCCAAACUGCACAGCUAUAAAUUCAAGACUAUCCCUGUCUGCCAACCACUCCUCCUCUUCUCUAAUAAAAUGAAUGAGACGGAAACA